rnacentral:rRNA from 1 species
AGAGUUUGAUUAUGGCUCAGGAUGAACGCUAGCGAUAGGCCUAACACAUGCAAGUCGAGGGGCAGCACAUGAAGUAGCAAUACGGAUGGUGGCGACCGGCGCACGGGUGAGUAACGCGUAUGCAACCUGCCUACAACAGGGGAAUAACCCGUUGAAAGACGGACUAAUACCCCAUAACACAGGGAUCCCGCAUGGGAAUAUUUGUUAAAGAUUUAUCGGUUGUAGAUGGGCAUGCGUUCCAUUAGCUUGUUGGUGAGGUAACGGCUCACCAAGGCAACGAUGGAUAGGGGAACUGAGAGGUUUAUCCCCCACACUGGUACUGAGACACGGACCAGACUCCUACGGGAGGCAGCAGUGAGGAAUAUUGGUCAAUGGACGCAAGUCUGAACCAGCCACGUCGCGUGAAGGAAGACGGCCCUACGGGUUGUAAACUUCUUUUGUAAGGGAAUAAAGUGUAGUACGUGUACUAUUUUGCAUGUACCUUACGAAUAAGGAUCGGCUAACUCCGUGCCAGCAGCCGCGGUAAUACGGAGGAUCCGAGCGUUAUCCGGAUUUAUUGGGUUUAAAGGGUGCGCAGGCGGGAGAUUAAGUCGGCGGUGAAAUUUUGCAGCUCAACUGUAAAAGUGCCUUCGAAACUGGUUUCCUUGAGUGUGGAUGAAGUAGGCGGAAUUUGUGGUGUAGCGGUGAAAUGCAUAGAUAUCACGAGGAACUCCGAUUGCGCAGGCAGCUUACUAAACCAUAACUGACGCUCAGGCACGAAGGCGUGGGGAUCAAACAGGAUUAGAUACCCUGGUAGUC